rnacentral:rRNA from 1 species
UGAGUACGAGAUGCUACGGCAUCGAAGCAGUCUAUGUCAUACUUCCAAGAAAAGCUUGCACUGUCAUAAACAAAGAAUGCCUGUACCAUAACCGACACAGGUGGGUAGGUAGAGUAUACUAAGGGGCGCGAGAUAACUCUCUCUAAGGAACUCGGCAAAAUGACUCCGUAACUUCGGGAGAAGGAGUGCCUUAUUUCUAAGGUUGCAAUAACAAGAUCCAAGCAACUGUUUACCAAAAACACAGGUCUCCGCUAAGUCGUAAGACGAUGUAUGGGGGCUGACUCUGCCCAGUGCCAGAAGGUUAAAGAAGUUGGUUAGCAUUAGCGAAGCUGAUAACUGAAGCCCUGGUGAACGGCGGCCGUAACAAUAACGGUCCUAAGGUAGCGAAAUUCCUUGUCGGGUAAGUUCCGACCCGCACGAAAGGCGUAAUGAUUUGGAUACUGUCUCGGAGAGGGGCUCGGUGAAAUAGACUUGUCUGUGAAGAUGCGGACUACCUGCACCUGGACAGAAAGACCCUAUGAAGCUUUACUGUAACUUGAGAUUGAAAUUGGACUUUAUUUGCGCAGUAUAGGUGGGAGGCGUUGAGAAUAAUCUUGCGGGAUUGUUGGAGCCAUCAGUGAGAUACCACUCUUGUAAUGUUAGAUUUCUAACUUUGUAUCAUUAUCUGGUCAAAGAACAGUUUCAGGCGGGCAGUUUGACUGGGGCGGUCGCCUCCCAAAGGGUAACGGAGGCGCACAAAGGUUUCCUCUGAACGGGUAGAAAUCGUAUCUAGAGUGUAAAGGCAUAAGGAAGCUUGACUGUGAGACCUACAAGUCGAGCAGGGACGAAAGUCGGUCUUAGUGAUCUGACGGUGCUGAGUGGAAAGGCCGUCACUCAACGGAUAAAAGUUACUCUAAGGAUAACAGGCUGAUCUCCCCCAAGAGUUCACAUCGACGGGGAGGUUUGGCACCUCGAUGUCGGCUCAUCGCAUCCUGGGGCGGUAGUCCGUCCCAAGGGUUGGGCUGUUCGCCCAUGAAAGCGGUACGCGAGCUGGGUUCAGAACGUCGUGAGACAGUUCGGUCCAUAUCCGGUGUAGGCGUUAGAAUAUUGAGAGGAGCCUUCUCUAGUACGAGAGGACCGAGAAGGACAUACCUCUGGUGUACCAGUUAUCGUGCCAACGGUAAACGCUGGGUAGCUAUGUAUGGAGUGGAUAACCGCUGAAAGCAUCUAAGUGGGAAGCCCACCUCAAGAUAAGUA